GGACUACCAGGGUUUCUAAUCCUGUUUGCUCCCCACGCUUUCGAGCCUCAGUGUCAGUUACAGGCCAGAGAGCCGCUUUCGCCACCGGUGUUCCUCCAUAUAUCUACGCAUUUCACCGCUACACAUGGAAUUCCACUCUCCUCUCCUGCACUCAAGUCUACCAGUUUCCAAUGCAUACAAUGGUUGAGCCACUGCCUUUUACACCAGACUUAAUAAACCACCUGCGCUCGCUUUACGCCCAAUAAAUCCGGACAACGCUCGGGACCUACGUAUUACCGCGGCUGCUGGCAC
rnacentral:rRNA from 1 species